rnacentral:ncRNA from 2 species
AAAGGUUCCAUGUGAACGGCA